CAGCCCGAGGAGCGGCUGGAGGCGAGGGCCGGUGAAGGGGCCCGCAGAUGCCGCCUCGGCCCCCCCUUCCCUGGCCGGGGCCCCCACGGUGUCGGGGAGCAGGAGGAAUCAAUCAGGAUAAUGAAGCCGCAGCCUGCCACGCACCGCGGGGGCACUGAGGAGCCGGGGCCGGUGCCAAGUCCGCCAGACGGUUCGGAGGAGCCGAGCCCGGCGCGGCCCGGCGGCGGCGGCGGCGGCGGCGGCGGCUGCGGCGUUUGCGGCAGCGGCGGCUGCGACGGAGGAAACCCGGGGCCGGCGCGCGAAGGCCGGACGCAGCUCGGCGCAGGUCCUUGGCAACCGCGCCUUGGCAACCGGGACGCCCGAGAGGAAUCUUAAAGCUGCAGCACCUCCUUUCCUCGCCGCCGCCGCCGCCUCCUGGACCUGGGGUGGGGUGGGGGAGGGGGAAGGGUCGUGCCCAGAGGGUCAGUGGUGGGAGUCAGGCCCUGUGCCUCUCGGGACUUGGGGGUCCAACUCAUAUCCUCACUUCAUUUAUCAAAUGUGGAUUGAGCCCACGUGCCCAAGCACGGGCUAGACACUGGGGAGGAGAACGGGCUGUGAUAAAAAAAUGAACGAAGUCCUGCCAAGAGGAGUUCACAGUCUAGCGCGCAAGGCGGACCAGACUGGCUGAGGUUUCAUGCCUAGCACAGAGCCCAGUGGGAAGCUUGAACUCCCGACCCUGAGAUCAAGACCUGAGCUGAGAUCAAGAAUCAGAUGCUCAACUGACUGAGCCACCCAGAUGCCCCAGGCCUUCCUCAUCCAUCUCUUGACCACAGCAAUUUCUUCCAUAAUUCCAGCCCAAGCCUCACCCCUCAAGGCCUCUUACCCAGCCCCGACACAACUCCUACUAUUAAGUGUUUGAUCCUGCCUGGAAAAAGAACCUGAGGACUCAUGGAGUCAGUCGUUGAAGCAACAUCAGCCCUGGUGACUCCGUAAGAGUAACGGACUAUUGGGCGCCUGGGUGGCUCAGUUGGUUAAGCGACUGCCUUCGGCUCAAGUCAUGAUCCUGGAGUCCCUGGAUGGAGUCCCGCAUCAGGCUCCCUGCUCGGCAGGGAGUCUGCUUCUCCCUCUGACCCUUCCCCUCUCAUGUGCUCUCCAUUCUCUCUCUCUCAAAUGAAUAAAUAAAAUCUUUAAAAAAAAAAGAAUAAUGGACUAUUUAUUGUAUCAACCACUGAGCACCUAUGGAGUAUCAGGCAGUGUCCUAGGUGCUUUACAGACAUUAUUUCACUAAAUGCUCUCCACAACCUUAAGAGGUUGUUUAUCUGAAUUUUACAGACAAGAAAACUACGGCUCAGAGAGGUUAAGUGACUUUACCAAGGUCGCACAGUUGGUUAAUGGCAGUGCUGGUGCUAGAACCUAAGGCUUCCUGCCUCCCAAACUUGUGAUCUAACCAUCAGCUACUACCUUUAGAAAGACCAAGAAGGGGUGCACUCCCACAGUUAGUGAAGAAAUUGCACUGAGGCCCCCAUCAGGAGAAGCCACAGAAAAGUAAUCCUGUUUUUUCAAUUCCCCUUGGUAGGCACAGACUUAAACCUAUCCCAGGCAGGAAAAAAAAAAAAUCUCUGAAGUAGGCCCAUUCUGAAGUUUUAUAUCCCAUCAGUAAGUUUUUCCAUAC